GUCCACGCCCUAAACUAUGUCAACUGGUUGUCGGGGAAGCAAUUCCUUGGUAACGAAGCUAACGCGUGAAGUUGACCGCCUGGGGAGUACGGCCGCAAGGUUAAAACUCAAAGGAAUUGACGGGGACCCGCACAAGCGGUGGAUUAUGUGGAUUAAUUCGAUGCAACGCGAAAAACCUUACCUACCCUUGACAUGUACGGAAUCCCCCAGAGACGGGGGAGUGCCCGAAAGGGAACCGUAACACAGGUGCUGCAUGGCUGUCGU
rnacentral:rRNA from 1 species